GUGGGAGCUGGCUUGCCAGCGAUGGCGGUAUGUCAGGCGAUGAAGAUGUCGACUGCGCCGUCCUCAUCGCUGGCAAGCCAGCUCCCAC
rnacentral:antisense_RNA from 1 species